CAGACUUAGAACUACUAGAGAAUCUUAAUCAGCUCAUAGCCGUUGACAACCAACUUCUGCAUGUGAAGGAUUUGGAGUUUUUACUGAACAAGUUGAUGAAGCUGUGGAAAAUUGAUCUAAAUGGAAAUCCUGUUUGUCUCAAACCAAAAUACAGGGACAGACUGAUAUUGGUGUCCAAAUCACUGGGUAACUUCAAAACAAUGCAUCAUAUAGUUCCUGUUUAUUACCCACAGGAAUCUCUCUUUGAAGCAAUCUGAAAGCUUGCUGACAAAAAAUGAUGUGCAUGAACCUCACCUCUUCCAUAACCCAGAAGAAAAAGAAAAUUUGUUUGUGGAAAAUGAGUAAAUUCAGCCUCAAGUGACAGGAAACGUUUGAUUUUGUUUUUAACCUUAUAUGACUAGGCAACAAUAUCUUUUGUGGGUUUGUAGCUUUAUGGUAUCUCAUAAUAUAAGGAAAAACUUUUAA
rnacentral:lncRNA from 1 species